UAUGUAGAUUAGAAGUUUGAAAUCGAGUGGCGCCGCUAAACUAGACAUGGACCAAAGUGUGACCCUACAACAGCACAAACGAACACAUACGGGCGAGAAGCCACACAAGUGCGAUGUCUGCUCUGCAGAGUUCGGCCGUAGCGAUAGACUACUGGAUCACAAUCGGACACACAUGGCCGAUAAGCCAUACGAGUGCCUGCCGUGCUAAGCUCAGCCUGAGCAGGAACCUACAGCAGCACAAGCGGGCACACACGGGCGAGAAGCCAUAAAAGUCCAAUGUCUGUCCUGCGGAGUUCAGCCAGAGCAGACAGAGUCACAAGACAGACACACUCGAAGCCAUACAGGAGCAUUCCCUGUUCUGCAAACUUGAGAGAUCAGUCACGGGGAACCAACAGGCGCCAGCCGGAGACCCAAAUAGCUGCUGGCUGAGCACGAGCUAGUUCAGCCAGAGCAGGAACACGUCGCCACGAGACACUUGAAAUUGAAACCGUGCAAGUACAGAUGCCAUGUUCUCGUAUAUGUUCUUCGUGAAGAAGCACAUGAUAAUGCGCAGGGAGAAAAGGCUGUACAGAAGCUGUCUGAACCGUAUCGCAUUUUAUUUCUUUUUUUUCCUGUUGGAUGUUUCGAAACUCACACGCAUGAACAAACUGAAGUUCAAAAAGAGAUGGAUUGGAGAGCUGGAUUAGGUGGUGAUGCAUUGAAGUGUCAAGAAGCCCAGUGCUGGGGAGACAAACAAACAUGAAAGAGACGUCCUCUCACUGGCUGUCAACUGCCGAGAACGGUUCAUUUCCAUGAGCAACAUGCUCUUAUAUUGCUCCCUUCCCCCUUUUUUCUUCCUCUUGUGAUGAAUGCGUGUCUUCUUUAUCGUUGACUAUUGCUGCGCGGAAGGAACAUGGACACGAGAGGAAAGGGAAACACAAGCGCUUGUGCUUGUCUUACAUCUCUUGUCCAUGCACCUUUGGCACUUCGUUAGCCAACCAGGGAUAGUCAUCAAACUAGCCUAGCUAUCUACCAUUGUGCUUCUCUUCAGGCUUCCAUUGUUUUACGCCGUACGUCUCGUCAGUCGGUAAGGUGAACAAAGAAAUUGACGCAAAGAAAUAAAAAAAAGAUGGUUUGCAACCACUUACAUAUGCCAACUUGGUACGAAAUCCCGAGAAUUCCCUUUUGUGUCACGACCAAACUAAAUAAAUGUACACACUCAAAGUAAA